rnacentral:rRNA from 1 species
GGGGGGACCAUCCUCCAAGGCUAAAUACUCCUGACUGACCGAUAGUGAACCAGUACCGUGAGGGAAAGGCGAAAAGAACCCCGGCGAGGGGAGUGAAAAAGAACCUGAAACCGUGUACGUACAAGCAGUGGGAGCACCCUUCGGGGUGUGACUGCGUACCUUUUGUAUAAUGGGUCAGCGACUUAUAUUCUGUAGCAAGGUUAACCGAAUAGGGGAGCCGCAGGGAAACCGAGUCUUAACUGGGCGAAUUAGUUGCAGGGUAUAGACCCGAAACCCGGUGAUCUAGCCAUGGGCAGGUUGAAGGUUGGGUAACACUAACUGGAGGACCGAACCGACUAAUGUUGAAAAAUUAGCGGAUGACUUGUGGCUGGGGGUGAAAGGCCAAUCAAACCGGGAGAUAGCUGGUUCUCCCCGAAAGCUAUUUAGGUAGCGCCUCGUGAAUUCAUCUCCGGGGGUAGAGCACUGUUUCGGCUAGGGGGUCAUCCCGACUUACCAACCCGAUGCAAACUGCGAAUACCGGAGAAUGUUAUCACGGGAGACACACGGCGGGUGCUAACGUUCGUCGUGAAGAGGGAAACAACCCAGACCGCCGGCUAAGGUCCCAAAGUCAUAAUUAAGUGGGAAACGAAGUGGGAAGGCUCAGACAGCCAGGAUGUUGGCUUAGAAGCAGCCAUCAUUUAAAGAAAGCGUAAUAGCUCACUGGUCGAGUCGGCCUGCGCGGAAGAUGUAACGGGGCUAAAUUAUGCACCGAAGCCGCGGCAGCGAUAUGUAAAUAUUGUUGGGUAGGGGAGCGUUCUGUAAGCCUGUGAAGGUG